rfam:Phialocephala scopiformis strain CBS 120377 unplaced genomic scaffold LY89scaffold_4, whole genome shotgun sequence.
GGGGAUGUAUUUCAGUGGUAGAAUGCACGCUUUGCAUCAAAUUGCAGAUCUGCGUGAGGUCCGGAGUUCAAUCCUCCGCGUCUCCA